AGACCAGAAAGAAAAAACAGUUUUAGCCUGCAUGUUCUCCCAUGUGCCUUCUCCAACUAAGCAAAUAUUACUGAGCUUUGGAGGUGGAUCAAUCAAUAAUAGUACAACAUGGAUAAAAUGAAGCCUGAUUGUAUAAUUCAGGCUUUCAGAUAAGCCUCACCCUCCCCUGGCUGUGUUAAUAAUUUGCUAAAGUACAAACAGAUAUUAGACAUUACACACUUUCUCUUUGCACAAUUAAGGAGGUCUUCCCAGCCAACAGAUUCUAAAAAGGCAACUACAUACAGCUUCAGGGCCUGGCAACGAUGUCCACUUCAAUACAAACUGCUUCUCAAGACAUUCUAAAACAUCUGAAAACUCGGAUUCUGUCAGAUGACUGGGCUCUUGGGGGACUGGUAGUAAUAGCUUCAUUCGUCAUGGUUAUCAUUGCACUCCUGUUGUUUGCUGCCAUCUUUGGCUGUUGCUCAGCUCCAAGGAAUAAAUCUAGCCCCAUAUAAAACAGCAAGAGCAGCCUUGUCUGUGGAAUUUGAAGAAUGCUGAAGUGGGACCAAGCAGGGGAAAGUAUUGUUGCUUCUUGACCCCCCUGUUUCACAUGUACAAGUGAACAUACUACAGAGAAAAUUUGGCACUGUUCAAAGGCACACGAUCAGCUUCCACACGAGUCCUGACACCAAAUGAAAUCAGCAUUCAAGAAGCAUGUGCCUGAGCAGGUCUUAUUCACAACUAACUAUUUCUAGCAAAGGAAGUGACAAAAAUUGUUUAAGAAAUAGCUGUAAGAAUUUGAAAAUCCAAAGAAUGUUCAGUUUUCCUUGAACUUGUACAUUUGUCUUUCUUCUCUUGCAACCAGUAUAAGUAUAGUUAAACUAAAUGAGACUAAAUGAGCUGUAUUUUUUAAAUGCAUCCACAUGAAUCCCUUCCCCCAAUUCUUAUUUUAUUUCCAUAAUCUUCCAAAGGCAGCUGGCUGAUAGAGCUGAGCCAAAGGGUGGAGGAAUAAUGCCCAUCUCAUUAAAAUCUUCAAUAUAAUU